UACGAAGGGGGCUAGCGUUGUUCGGAAUCACUGGGCGUAAAGCGCACGUAGGCGGAUGUGCCAGUCAGGGGUGAAAUCCCGGAGCUCAACUCCGGAACUGCCUCUGAUACAGCACGUCUUGAGUUCGAGAGAGGUGGGUGGAAUUCCUAGUGUAGAGGUGAAAUUCGUAGAUAUUAGGAGGAACACCAGUGGCGAAGGCGGCGAUCUGGGAAGAUACUGACGCUGAGGUGCGAAAGCGUGGGGAGCAAACAGG
rnacentral:rRNA from 1 species